rnacentral:rRNA from 1 species
AUUGAACGCUGGCGGCAUGCCUAACACAUGCAAGUCGAGCGAGCGGCGGACGGGUGAGUAAUGUCUGGGAACCUGCCUGAUGGCGGGGGAUAACUACUGGAAAAGGUAGCUAAUACCGUAUAACAUCAGAUGUGCCCAGAUGGGAUUAGCUAGUAGGUGGGGUAACGGCUCACCUAGGCGACGAUCCAUAGCUGGUCUGAGCGGAUGACCAGCCACACUGGAACGGAGACGCGGUCCAGACUCCUACGGGAGGCAGCAGUGGGGAAUAUUGCACAAUGGGCGCAAGCCUGAUGCAGCCAUGCCGCGUGUGUGAAGAAGGCCUUCGGGUUGUAAAGCACUUUCAGCGGGGAGGCGUUACCCGAAGAAGAAGCACCGGCUAACUCCGUGCCAGCAGCCGCGGUAAUUC